UGGCUUGAACUCUCAGUGGUGCACACUUAUCUGGCUGAUAAGAGCUGGUAGGGGCUGUAGCUUUAGGAUGAGGGCUUUGCUCUGUACUACUGCAGCUUGUAAACAGAAAACAAUUUCAUUUCCCAGUCCCUUCGUCUUACCAAUAUGAGAUGAAAACACAUGUAUCAAGAAUAGGAAACGGUGAUUUUCCAGCUCUUCUUCAGAGUGUAAAUUCUCGCUCUUUAUUGAUGGCCAAGUUAGUUGAAAUCAUCAACACAAGCUCAUUUUAGACACCAAAUAUGAACAAAUGUUUCCCAUUAUGUUAGCGAUACGACCAUUCUGACACAAAAUUAAAAGAGCUCUGAAUGAAAAGUUAGGAUUUACUGCAGGAAACCUGAAAAAAGCCCCAGUUUUCACUCAAAGUUAACCAAGUGUACAAAACCCUCAUAGAAUUAAGAAAAGAGAAUGCUGUGUACAGAAAAUACACAGAGCAAAUAAAGCUGAAGCAUUACACACAGAGAUAAGCCAGAUACAUUCUUGGAAGUCAAAUAACUUCCUCUAAGAAGGGCAACACAAGCAUUCAGCUAAAGCUGUAGCGUGUUGACACACUGUAUGGAACAUAGUCAAGCACAAUAGUCACCGAGAUAACAUUGUGGCCGUUUGGCAGGUAAGAGAACAGGCACCAAUAUCUCAGUUGCAUAACCUCACUACACACCGCAGGUGCCUGGCUCCUGUUCCAAGUCUUACUGUAAGGGCAUGGGGCAUUUCUGAUAGAAGGAUCUGUGCUGUUUCCAACGUCAAAUUCUAAGACUCAAAAUAUUUCAAGUUUUCUGUUUUUAGAAGUAGUUCUGUAUUCUUUACGACAAGAAACACUAUUAACAGAUGAGAGCCUGCCACUUAUUUUGUCUCUGCAAUUUUGUAUCCUCUAGUGAAGUAACCCAUCCUCCACAAUAAGGUGUUUUCUGUAAUUACAAUGAAACAGUUGGACUGCACCUCUCAAAAAUCUCAAAGUUGUAUCAGGAACCCCUGUUCCGAUGAAAAUAAAAACAUUAUUUUGCAGCAGCACAAGCGCUGCAAGACUACAUUAAAAAAAUGCUACCUAGACCUUUACAGAAGAAUUAGUUUCAAGUAAUUUCAUGACAAAAAUAUGGAUUUUUUGAGAGAAUAAAAUGUAGUUCCCGUGUGUUAAAUUUUUGUUUAGACGACAUUUGUGAAAAUCAAAUAUUGACCAGAUGCCAUUGUGGCCUUCUGCUAAAAACGUCAGAGUCUGAGAGUGAAGAGGUUCAAAACUAGACACCUAAAAGGAAACUUGUCCAAAGAUGUAUAAGUGUGGAAAGACUCUACAGAGGGAUCUGGACCAGCUGGAUCAAUGGGCUGAGGCCAGUUAUUCAAUAAGGCUAUAGCGGGUACUGCACUUGGGCCACAACCCCAUGCAAUGCUACAGGUUGAGGGAUGAGUGGCUGGAAAGCUGGCUGAUGGAAAAGGACCUGGGAAUGUUGGUUGAUAGCUGGCUGUGAGCCAGCAGCAUGCCCAGGUGGCAACAGCAUUCUUCCUGCCUUGUAUCAGAGAUAGUGUGGCCAGCAGGAAUAGGGAAUUGAUUGUUCCCCUGUACUUGGUCCUGGAGAGCCCAGACCUGGAAUAUUGUGCUCAGUUUUGGGUACACUCACUGCAAGGAAUACAUUGAGGGGCUGGACUGUGUCCAGAGAAGGGCAACAAAAGCUGGUAAAGGGUCUGGAGCACAAGUCUUAUGAGGAGCAGCUGAGCAACCUGGGGUUAUUUGGUCUGGAGAAAACGAGGGUUAGGGGAGACUUUAUCACUGUCUACAAUUAUCUGAAAGGAGGGUGUAAUGAGGCAGGUGUUGGUCCCUUUUCCCAAGUAACAAGUGAUAUGACAAGAGGAAACAGCCUCUUGUUGUGCCAGGAGAGAUUUAGAUUGGAUGUUAGGAAAAAUUCCUUCACCAAAAGGUUGUCAAGCACUGGGACAAGCUGCCCAAAUGAAGUAACAGGGCCUGAUCAACAGGCCUAAAAAAAAAAAAUAGGUGACCCACAGAUGAUUCAUAGUGCAUUGCUAUGUGUAUUGUUUAAAUUGCAACUUUUCACAUUUCUAUUAUCAGUAGAAUUGUCCUGUGCUAUUUUUGUAAUGCAUAAAGCAUGAGAAAAUGCAUCAUAGUUGCAUUAUCAAUAGAAUUGGGCUGUGGCACAUUAGUCAUGGUUUCCUCAGUGUGCACAGGAUGCGAGGGGUAACAUCAUGGAGACGGGCAGCAGUCCCUGGGCUCAUGGACAGCACGUGAUCAUCAUUCUGACUGGCCAUCAACACCGUGGCUGACAAAUCAGUAUGAGCAUGAACACUAUGAAAAGAGAAGAACUAUGCAGGAACACCGCAUCUCAGCACUCCCCUUAGUUCGAAGAUAAGAGAUAUCCAGCAGUUUCCCUUAUCUUCCUUCCUGGGCUCUGGCCAGGCUCCAGGAGGCGGGCAACAGGGCAGCCAAGACUGUUUUUAGAAUGAUGCAAGUUGUUUAUUUAACAAUAUAAAGGCUGGACCCUCUUGCAGCGACUUUGGAGUCCUCACCUACAAGUGGAUGCACUGUGUAGGACUUCCCAAUUGCCCAGGGAAGGUUCUCCCAAAUCCUAGCUGCAACAGCUGCUCUUCAGCAACUGCAGAUCUGGAUGAUGGUAAUAGGACAAUUGUUGUUAUAGGACUGGAGACUGCAUACUCCGCCAACCAGAAGAGUUCAUUGCCUGAUCAGCUUCAAGGAAAGGAGCAUCCAGGAAAACAAGUGAAACCCACUAUAGUAAUGAAGGCGGCUGGAAAUACCUAACACUGAGAUCACUGUUCUACUCGAAAUGCUUGGAGAGAGACGAGAGGAGAUGGGGAACGAAAUGACAAAGGAAUACUGAAUGGGAGAAAUGUCUCAUUCCGGUCAGCCUCAACCGUCACAGAUGCAUGAGAUACGUUGUCUAACAAAUGGAAUUGAAAUAAAGAGUCAUGAAACAGUGGUCUGGCAGACACGGAACACUGAAACAAACUGCAAGUCAGUAAUUCAUUAAUGGAUAUCCUGCAUGGGAUAUUUUCAUACUUAAUAUUCAAGAAUAUGGGGAGACAGAAAAGUGCUUCUUAAUUUCAAGGACCUUUUUAUUACUGACUUUGAAUGUGGUAGGUCUGCUUUGCUGAUAGUCUGUUGGCUCUUGUAAUGAGGCAAAUGAUGACGAACAACUGUAUGAAAACUAUCUUCUAAAAGUACACUAGUAGUUUAUUUAGAGGACAAAAUCUUGAUUUAAUCUACUGACAGGUAUUUAAACAUAUUGGAAAAUUAAGUAUUGUGUUAUACAUCAAUUCACAUUACAUGAUUUCCUAAAAUCAAAAUUAUAUAUGAAUAUAUAGAGAUGCAUAAGACAUGAUUAAGGUAUAAAUCACCCUUUUAUUUUAAUGAACUUAAAAAUGUAGUCAAACCCAUAGCUGUCUGUCUUUUGGUAAGAAUUACAAGAAAUACUGAAUCGCUAUUUCCUUUUCACUCUUAUAUUCCCAAGAGCACCUGCAAUGUGCUUUGACUAAUUGUUUCCUGGUACAUACACUGUAUCUUUCAAUUAUGUAAAUAAGAAAAAAAAGGAUCCUUUUAAGUAAGGAUGAUACUGCAUUUUGCAACAAUCAGCACUAUCUGUUCUGCUGAGAGGAAAAGAUGCUACGCUGUUACAGUAAUUCUACAAUCAGAAUCCACAAUCUCUCUAGAUAGCAUCUGAAGGUCACAAGCGAUUUUAAGACUGCUUGUAAAUAAGACUGCUUUUGUUCAUUAUGCAGAUUAGAAACCUAAAAACAUAUGACACCUUACGUAAAUGUAAGCAGGGAAACACUAACUCCAUUUCUCUUAAAUACCAAGUGAAGUACACGUGUUCAAGAACCAUCUAGAAUUUCUGUCCUUUGAAAUAAUCAGCAAAUCUGAUUAAACAGAGAAAAAUUUUUCUACCUUCUGACAUUCAAAAACUAUGUCCCUUCAUUUUACAGCUUUAGUAUCAGAAAUUAUACACUCCCUUCGAAAUUUUCUCACUUGUUUUUAUGGUGAUAUAAAAACAAAAAAAAGAAGCAAUCUAAACAUAAGCUCUGCAAACAGCAUGCAGCUUAGUAAGCAGUACAACACUACUGAAAAGUAGGAGAGUAAAUACUAAUUCCUAUACUCUCCAUCCCCACUGUCUUUUUCGCCAACAAAGCACUCAAAAUCUCUCCAACCAUAACUGGCAUCUACUCUCUGCAAAAGCUAGAGCACUAUUUUUAUUGGAAAGCCUCUCUACCAUACCUGGAACUAAGCCAGUUCAUCAACAUCCCUGGUUUCUGCGCCCUCUCCCAGUCCCAAACAGAGCAGAGAAAAUGAAUCAUUAUUGUCUCACUCUAGCUUUCGUCCAGUAACAGGUAUUUGUUAGGAAAUUCAAUUUGUUAGGAAAUUAGCUCCCUCGAUGGGCUAAAUGUUAGUUACUGAACAAAACUACCAUCGCUAUGCUAAUGUAUACACAUGCAAGAGAGGAUCUCCAGUACAAAUGAAAUCCUGCUAGAAAGUUAAGAACAUCUAUCGCAAGCCUGCUGUUUUCCCUGAAGAAACAUAAAGCCAGAACCAAGAUUAAGAAAUUAAUUCCUGGAACUAACAUUACUGAAAGGAUAGUGGCAGCAAACAAAUCUCAUUUGAAGCUCAAUUAACACUGGCAUAGUCAGCUGAGAAAAUCUUAUUAUCAAUGCUGAAUUGCACACAGAGGGAGAGGAAAAAAAUAUGUGAGUGAAGUCCUAGCUUGGUAAAAGCCCUCUAGACCUUUUGUUUUGUUUCCCUGGGUUGUGUUUGUUUUCAAGCUUGGAUUUCUGUGGAGCCAGAAUUUCACCCCAAUAUUUCAAAAUGAAGUUUGACUGGAAGGUGGGGUGACUGUUUUCCCAUUUAUCAAAUUAGACUAAUCGUGGAUAACUUGAUAGUGGAAUGUAAAAGCACAGAACCAACCUAAUGGAAUUUUUGUAGAAUAAAUAAAAAUUGCAUAUGAAUAAU